CACUCCUUGGCUUCAAGCUUUGCCUUGGGGAAACUCCAAAGUCCUCCUGCCACAAGUACCCUGCCCUGCAGCACAUUGCACAUACCUACUUCUGCCCAGGGCUGGCUCUCUUCUUGCCCUGAGGGGAUGCCUGAGGAUGAAUUCUCUGCUGUGGCCUCUGGAAUUGCUUUCUGCAGGAACUGGGACCCCAACUGCUCACUGGGACAGCUGGUUGAGGCUUCAGUCACCACUGUAACACAGAGCACAGAAACUGUCUGCUUUAGGCGACAACACCGGAUCUACUUAGUGUCCUUCUCACAGCCAAGAAGGAGGAGAGUUCAUGGAGAGGAAUUCAGGGCGGAAAACAAAGUGAACCAUUGGAAACUGCUUUCAGACUGCAGAUUCCAACCAGAUUUGUGUCAUGACUUCAGCCAGGGCAUUCUUCACCCACGUGGGACAAUGUCAGGAGCCUCAGUGACAUCGAGGCAGGGUCGGGAAUGUUCUUGGUGA
rnacentral:lncRNA from 1 species